ACUGCUCACACUUCAGCGUCCCAAACCCCAGCCAGAGGAGACGCUGUCCCUCGAGGCCAGAAGCCACUGGCACUGACCACGCGGAGGGAUGCGGGGGUGGAAGGACUGUCUCCCCACUCCGCACCCCAAAUCCUCAACCCAACUUUGGCCCGAGAGGCAAGCAGCAGACUGGGAGAAAGUUAGGGGUGGGGUAGAGCGUGGAGGAAAAAAAGUUUAAGGAGGGAAGGCUUGGUGGGAUAGCUUCCCCCAACACCCCCCAUCGGAGACUGGAAAGGGGAGGAUUUGGGAGAUUGGAGAAGGCGAGAGAGGAUGGGGUUAUGGGCCGGGCGGAGAGGGGCACCCGGAGCGAACUCCCCCGAAAGCCGAGGUGGGUGGCGUCCUGGGGCACCCGGGGCGAGGAGGGCGGGCGCGGAGCUCGGCGCACCGGGCAGCCCGGCCGGGCAGCCCCGAAGCGGAGCCGUUUCUCUUACCUGCCGCCCGCUUGGGUGCCUGCUGUUUCCUCCUUGGCAUCGCUCUACUUCGCUCCAGUCCCACUUCUGGCGCCCCAGCCCCGAGCCGCGCGCGGGGGCCCGCGGUCUCUCUCGCCUCUCUGGGUCUCCUCCGCCUCCUGCCCGGUGGCUCCUAGGGCGUCACUCGGCCUCUGUCCCCCUGACGAUCCCCCCUGCAACUCCUCCACCACGGGCCAGAGACCCCCCUCUCUGGGUGGCAGACACGGACGGCUGUGCCGGCUGGUUGGAAGUAGAGGCAGACUGCCACGUGCAGCGCCUCAUUUGGAUGUGUCUGGAGUCUUGGAAGCUUGACUACCCUACGUUCUCCUACAAAUGGACCUUGAGAGCUUGUUUGGAGGUUCUCGCAGGGGAGCUCAGCUACUCGUAUACCCUUGACCGAAGAACGGUCCUCCGCUAUCGGGGAAGGUCGUCCUCUUCGACCAAGCGCGCAGCUUCGGGAGGGAUGCACAUGGAGCGGAAGCCUUCCAGGGUGGAUCCCGUGUGAUUCAAACUUCUCUAGUCCGUAUCUUCCCCAAACAAAGAGACUCAAUGUAGAGUAUGACUCCAAAUAUAUGAGCAUACAGGCAGACAGAACUCAUCUUGAAUAUCAGGAUACCUCUCUUCCAGUAACUGUUCUGUGAAAACUUUAAGGUAGCAAUCUCUGGUUAUUUCCUACCCUCCCAUGACACCUGGUACAGCAUCAUGCUGAAGGGGAGAACUGGACAAGAGAACAUGGCAGAUGGAUGGUGGAGAGUGACAGCAAGAGUAAAGCAGGGUGUUGUGACAGAGAGCGCACGGGGUAGGGUCCACGCAGGGUGGGGGUCAUGGAAAGCCUUUCUGAGAAGAUAACAUUUAAACUGAGAUCUGGAAGACACAAAGCAGCCAACCAGGAGCCAAAGCCUGAAAUUGGAAGAGAUUUCUCUGCUUCUAAAACACAAAAAUGCAGCUGCCAGGUCCCAGGUUGAGAGAGCCAGCCAGCCAGCCCGGGGAAAGGGGAGCAGAAAGGAGGCAAGAGAGGUGACUACUUGCAGUUGGUGACGGUGUUUUGCUGCUGCUGAAGAAUCCCGACCACGUCGCUGGCCCAGUAAUCCAUUGCUCAACUUCAUUAACCACAGGAAGACAUUAAGUGAAUGUAAGGACCGGAACAGCCUGGAAACCAUGUGACGAGCAGCCUUUAAGUUCUGGGCUCCGGUAUAUUUUAUGCCACCUCAACUGCGCAUCAAGCUCUCCUCCCUGGACUCAUUAGAACUGUGUGCCCAAAGGUGCCCCUCAACUUUCAGAAGCAAAUAGAGUAUGAUAUAAUUCGCUCUGAGAACACCUUUCUGUCUUAUCAGGGAGCAUGUCUUAUCUAUUAUGAUUAGGCAUUAAGCGUCCUAUUGUCCUGAAAAUUUCAUGAGAUUCUACCCCUGCUUGCUAGGAUUAUGCCAAAGUGACUUGUCCUAGAUGCUGUGUUUGCCCAUCAAUACAGCUUGUCUUUUCUCCUUAACUAUUGCUGGGAAGGCCAACACAGCUAAGGAACUCACAGACGUAAAGUGGUUGAAUAGUUCGGGACUGUUGCAAAUCCUCCUGUGUGUCUUGAAGGUUUGCAUAUCUUGCUUUUGGUUCCCCAAGAAGCACACACCCCAAGAUAAAGAUUUGAGAGCAAGUAGUUUAUUUGGGAGAUUAUCCUGGAAAACUCCAGUAGGGAAGUGGGGGAGUGAAUAAAGAAAAGGAUGUAGGCAAUAGGGGUGUGUUAUCAAGCAGGUUAUCACAGUGGGCAAUUGCAACUUAAUCCUGCUGGGGGAACGCUGGGAGUCAGUGUAGAUUAUGCACUUCUGAGAUAUCCCUUCUGAAGUAUGAGAGAGCUGGGGUAUCCAUCUACAUUCCAUCCUGAGAGCUGGGAUGAGGGCCUCUCCUGGCCUUCCCUGCAGGCAAAAAGCCACAGGUGCUGGCAGUUAAAGCGGAGUGUGGAGAAGUGGGCCGAGUACCAGGCGAUGUCUGUUGCAUUGGAAUCCCCCAAACUGGGAGCUUCACAUGGUCAAGGACCAAGACUGUCUCUUAUUCAUUGCAAUGUCUCCACUUAGCCUAGUGCCAGGUACACAGCAGAACUUCAAUAAACAGCAGACCUUCAAUAACGAUCUAGCGAAGGCCCAGUGUAUUUGAAAGCUUCACACCAUGCCUCUUUUAGUUGCUCCCUCUGUUUUAGUGCUAUUGUUUAUAAUGUAUUUAGUGCUUAGAAGUCUUUUUUUUUUUUUUUUAAUUUUAGCUGUUACAUU